AGUGAACGCUGGCGGUAGGCCUAACACAUGCAAGUCGAACGGCAGCACAGUAAGAGCUUGCUCUUACGGGUGGCGAGUGGCGGACGGGUGAGGAAUACAUCGGAAUCUACUUUUUCGUGGGGGAUAACGUAGGGAAACUUACGCUAAUACCGCAUACGACCUACGGGUGAAAGCAGGGGAUCUUCGGACCUUGCGCGAUUGAAUGAGCCGAGGUCGGAUUAGUUAGUUGGCGGGGUAAAGGCCCCCCAAGGCGACGAUCCGUAGCUGGUCUGAGAGGAUGAUCAGCCACACUGGAACUGAGACACGGUCCAGACUCCUACGGGAGGCAGCAGUGGGGAAUAGUGGACAAUGGGCGCAAGCCUGAUCCAGCCAUACCGCGUGGGUGAAGAAGGCCUUCGGGUUGUAAAGCCCUUUUGUUGGGAAAGAAAAGCAGCAGGUUAAUACCCCGCUGUUCUGACGGUACCCAAAGAAUAAGCACCGGCUAACUUCGUG
rnacentral:rRNA from 1 species